rnacentral:lncRNA from 1 species
UGCCAUUAGCACUUGGGAUAUUUCAACUCCCUAAGUCAGAAUAAGAUUAAUCAUCAUGCAUUUACUGUAUUCAAAAUUAAAUCCUAUGGCUCAAACAUCUUUUGAAUUCCAAGUUCUAAACUGAUAUAUAAAGAGGGUGAGAGUCCCAAGACCUGAAAGAGGAUAGGAGUAGAUGAAACUGAAAAGGGUUAAAGUGCAGAGCCACCGGUGAUAGGGAAAAGCCACCAGGAGGUGUGAGUGGAGUGACCUGUGGUCAGGUGGGGGUUGGGGCAAUGGUGAAAAGGUACCUCCCUUAAGUUGAAAAGGCAUUCAUUGAGCUCUUGCUGUGUGCCAGAUUUAAGGUAGAUGCUGAGUAUGCAAAUGUAACUCAUGCUUCACUGAGCUCUACUAACCAACAAAUUCUACCCUGUUCUUUCUGGGCAUCCCAGGUGAUACAUCACAGGGGCUCAUGAAUGUGUCUUAAGCUGGGUCAUUGAAGUGGAAUGUUUUCACAAGACCUCCUCCACUUGCUACUGUGUCCGGAAUUGGUGGGUUCUUGGUCUCACUGACUUCAAGAAUGAAGCCGCGGACCCUCGCGGGAGUGGCAAAUCAAAGGCAUUGCAGCCUCUUUCAUCACUGCCGAUUGCUGAUGCCAACCAUGUGCCAAGUGCUUAAUACGUCACCUUAAAUCUUCUCAUCCACCCUCAGAGUAGCUGCAGCAUCAACCCAGUGCCCUGACUUUCAAGACGACUAUGAAAACACCCCAACUGCUGCUAAAUUACCAGCAACAAGGAUCUGACAUUCUUAUUCAAAAGAAAGAACACCGAAAUUGACCUUACCCUGACAAUAUGAUGGCUGAAGGAUUUAUGAUCACUUAUAACAUUUGAAAUUGAGGCGGAACCUGAAGAAUAAGACUCUGGUGAAAGGUCCUAUUUAUGCUUUUGAUGUCUUUCACUUGGACAUUUACCACAUGCCUAUUGGUAGGUUUGUUACAUAGGUCAGUUAAGGUGAUACAAGAAUAAAUAAAACACUAUCCCUAUCCUUUAAUAUCAUUUAUUUAUGGGGUCAAUCACAGAUUUUCAUUUUUCAAAAUCUUUGAUAAAUGUCAGAAUUAUGUUUUUUAAUAUUUUUACAGAAUUAUUACAAUAUAUGGUAGAGGAUGGAAGGCAAGGUAGUAUGAAACGGAAAAGAUAUUUUGAAUUAAGGUAUUUGGACCUGGAUUAAUAUUUUUGCUUUGGUCUUUAUUAGCUGAGUGACCUUGAGAAAGUUCUUCUACUAAAAAAGAACAAAGAUAAUAAUUACUUCAUGAAAUUGCUGUAAAAAACACAUAACAAGUAUAUCCAGACUCAACAGUGUAUGCUCAAAAAUGCAGAUCCUUUUUCCCUUACCUGCAAAUAAAGUCUUACAGUAAUACAGUGGGGGUAAAGGUUUAAACUGGUGGAUUCAAGAAGGGCUAUAGAAAGAGGUAGCAUCUUAAUAGGGGAAGGAGAGGAUCCAAGAAAUCAGAUCCAUUUUCUACAAAAAGAAAUGGGAAGACAGAUAAUUCAAGAAGAAAAGUUUACAUGAUUAAAGACCCGAAGUUAGAAAUAGUGAUGUGUCUCAAUAGUAAGUUAGGAAUUGGGGUGGACACAAUUGUUGGAAGAAGGAUGGUUUCAGCAAAGGCCCAAGUUAGGUGACAAUUUCAAGUGUUUGUGAAGAUAUAUGAACAAAAUUAUAAAGUAGUUAGGGUAUAAGAAAUAGGGAGGAGGGAAUGAAUUAACAUUUAUGGAGUGUCUUGCAUGUUCCAAGCACUGUACUACUUGCCUUAUAAACCUUUCUUCAAUAAACGCCUACAACAA